rnacentral:tRNA from 1 species
AGGGAUUUAGCUUAAUGGCAAAGUGCCUGCCUCGCAAGCACAAGGUCCUGAGUUCAAUCCCUG